rnacentral:rRNA from 1 species
CACGUAGGGGGCAAGCGUUGUCCGGAUUUAUUGGGCGUAAAGCGCUCGUAGGUGGUUCGGUAAGUCGGGUGUUAAACCCCCAGGCUCAACCUGGGGACGCCACUCGAUACUGCUGUGACUAGAGUCCGGUAGGGGAGCGUGGAAUUCCUGGUGUAGCGGUGAAAUGCGCAGAUAUCAGGAGGAACACCAGCGGCGAAGGCGGCGCUCUGGGCCGGUACUGACACUGAGGAGCGAAAGCGUGGGGAGCAAACAGG